ACCAAGUUCACUGUCCCGGUCUAAGGGAAGCCGGUGAGAAUCCGGCGCGGCCCCGCCGCUGUAAUUGGGAACGUUGCGUUCCGCUCCAAAAGCGAAGCCACUGCCCGCGCGAUUCAGAAGCGGGUGGGAAGGCAGAACGCAGCGACGGCCCAUGAGCCAGAAGACCUGACCGGGAUCUAUCAGACCU
rnacentral:ncRNA from 2 species